GGGAAUAAUAUUGAUAUGGAGUUAUGAGUUGGGAAUAUGGAUGUAUUGAUAUAAUUUUUGAAUUGUGAAUUUGAGUUUGUGAUAUGGAGUUUAGUUUAAUUUUAAAACAAAAUGUUGUCGAAUUUUUACUAGAUAUUUAAUAUGGAAAGUAAAGCUUGUGUUUGUUUUUUAUUAUUAAAUUGUUAUGGUUUAGGAGGAGCUCUUGGAUUAUGAUUUUAUAUGGAUGGAAAAGUGACAUAUGUGAAUUGGUAUCUUGCAAUACAAAUGAGUAGUA
rnacentral:misc_RNA from 1 species